ensembl:lncRNA
AUGUGUGUAUAUAAAUCCCUUUUUUUAUUUACCAUGCUUUUAAUUUCCUAUAAGGUAUUUGAUUGGCUUAGAAUGAUAAAAAUUGUUCCACUCAUUCCAAUUACACUGAUUGCUGUCUAUUUAAGUGGUGGUUUGAAUGUUGGUUUUAAUGUAUCAAACAUGGAAUCAAAACCAAGAAGGGCGAGAAAGCCCAACUGGACAGAGGAGCAGUGUUUACUGUUAGCCCAGUUAGUGGAUGAACACAAGGCCAUCCUUAAAGGAAAAUUCGGGCCGGGUGUCACAGCACGGGACAAGAAGCAGACAUGGGAGCGUAUAGCACAAACUAUUAACGGUUCAUUCCCCCUGCUUGUGCGGACCAGUGAAGACUGUGAAAAACGCUGGUAUGUGCUGCAAUCAAAAGCCAGAGAGGAAAUUGCAGCACACAAGCGGGAGUCAUCAUGCACAGGGGGGGGACCACCUGCUAAACAGCUGUCCCAAGUAGCCCAAACCGUGUUCAACAUCUUAGGUCACUCAGAAACAAGUAUUACCGGUUUGAAGGAGGGCACAGACAGCUCAAUGAUUCAGCUGGUGGAACUACAAAAAUGUAGCACAGAGCUUUCAGCAGAGGAAUGGGGACCGUCGACAUCGCAGAUGGGUGACCCUCAGCCCGAGCGCCUCAUUCCCUGCCUUCUGCUGCCACUGCAGCUGCUCCAACACCAUCCCUAG